GCUCCGGUGGUCUAGUGGUUAGAGCGUCCGCCUCGGAUGUGGGAGGUCGUGGGUUGGAGACCCAGCCUAGUCCU